ensembl:lncRNA
ACUACUUUUUCUCUCAAACUGGAAUUAAGAUCAUAAUAUUUUGGCUUAAGAUCCCAUGAGCUAAAAUGAAGGACAGUUUAUUUUAUUUUUCUGCAUCUGAACUAUAUAGUGCUGUUUCGAUUAAAGAUAAAAGUAAGCAAAAUGGGAAGGAGAAGUGUUCCUUCCAGUGCAGUCUGAUUUGCUGCAAAAGUGCAUUGUGCUGAUGGUGCAAGAUUUAGGUUUAGGAGGGGCUGCAAGGGUGGCCUUCGAGUGGAGCCCAGUACUGCCUCAUGCCAGAUCACAACAAGCUCCAGCUGCUCCAACAGGGACCUACUGCUACCAGAGCUAAGCCCUGUGUGAUGUGCCCCUGGGAGAGCAGAUUUAGGAAAGGGAAAAACUACACUACAACACCUGGGAGAGAGGAGUGAGAAACUGCGAGAAACAGCCCUGCAGCCACAAAGGUCAGCACAGGAGGAGGGCGGGAGUUGCUCCAGGAACAUACCAGAAGCUCCCUCCAGACCAGGAGAGGCCCACAAUGCAGCAUGCUGUUCCCCUGCAGCCCAUGAGCACUGCACAGAGCAGAUCUUCAAAUGCAGCCAUGGAGGAGCCCGAGGUGCAGCAGUGGAUGGCUGCAGCCAUCCACUGAAGGCUGCAGCCUGUGGAGAGCCACUGCAGGAGCAGACCUGGACUGGAGUUGAAGCAGGAGAGGGGAAGGAAGCGAGAGGAAGGGAAGAGACCUAGUGGGGCAGAAGAUCUGAAGAAGCUGCUCUCUGUGGAUGACCAGGGCUGGACCAGUCUGCUCCUGAAGGAUAGUGCUGUGAUUUAACCCAGUAGAUAGCUAAGCCCCACAGUUGUUUGCUCACUUCCCUCCUGCUUUCCCCCUCCAACUACCCAGUGGGAUGAGGCAGAGAACCAAAAAAAGCAAAGCAGACCUUGGGGAUUGAGAUAAAGACUAUUUUCUAAAACAAAAAAAGGAAGAGAAAAAAGGACUACAGUAAUGAUAAUAAUAAUAAAUAUAUGUUAUAUAUAUAUACAUACAGUACAAGAAGAUGAUGAAGAUUGCUCACCACCCACCAGUCAGGUCCCCAAGCAGCAGCUGCUUCCCAGCAAACUCCACACCAUUUUCAAGUUUUUACCCCAUGAUGUCAUAUGGUAUGGAAUAUCCCUUUGGCCAGUUUAGGUGGAAGAGACACCUGGAAAAUCAUCAAUUCCAACCAUCCACCUAAUGCUAUGAAGUCUGCCACUAAAUAAUGUCCCUUAGCACUCUACGUCCCCGUGUCAAACAUCUCCAGGCAUGGCAACUUUAUUACUUCCCUGGGCAGCCUGUUCAAUGCCUCACCGCCCUUUCUGUCUGCAGUUUAUCCAUGUUGACUCUUGCUGAGUACAUUUUCCUGUGUGUGCCUAGAAAUGUGCUUCAGGAAGAUUUGUUCCUUGAUCCUUCCCUGGCAAAGAAGUGAAGCCGAUUAGCCUGCAGUUCUCCAGACAUAAUUUAUUGGUCUUUCUGAAGAUGAUUGCAAUAUAUUCCUCACUACUGUUUUCAAGAUCCUUAAAAAGUGACAGAGAAUAGCUUUCCAAUGACAUUUACUGUCUCUCAGUAUCCUUGGAUGUAUCUGAUCUGAUCACAUGGACUUGCUUGGGUUCCGUUGUCUAAAACAAACUGUGACUCAAUCCUUAUCCAGCACUGACUGUUCUCUCUGAAUACUUUCACUGACCACAGAUACCUUAGAUAAGUUUCCAGUGAAGACUGAAGCAAAGAAGGCAUUGAAUACCUCAGCUUUGCAUAUCUGUUGUCACUAAAUCUCCCUCACCUUUAAACUGUGUGCUUGUAUUUUCUCAGUUCAGCUUUUUACUACUAAAGUAGUGUUAGAAGCUCUUCUUGAAAUGUAUUAAGGUUGUGAAGGGCAACAAAUCCCAUUGCUGCUCCUCUCUUACUGGCAUCCCACCAUGAACAGCAAACUUUCUGCUGAAUCAUCAUCAGUCUCAUGGAAGUGCUCACUUUGGUGUGAUCUUGUCUUUAACUUCUUUUCUUCCUCCUCUUCUGCUCAGUCUGUCACUGUAGAGCUGGUAUUCAUCCAUUGCAGCACUCCAGUUGCAUGAAUUCUCUCACCAUUGCUCAAAUAGUUUGAACAAUGCUGAAGAUCUGUGACUGCACAUGGAGCUACUGCCCUUCCUGCUUGUUUCCCAAGCUAUCUGUAUUUAUGUACAUAUGAUGAAGUGGCCCGUCUUUCACCCUCUUUUAUUACUGUAGAGGUAUCUCUUGCUUACUUACAGCCUUGUACCCACUGCUGUCCAUCAUUUCCAUACUUCACUGUGGAAUUAAGUUGUCCUUACCAGGUUGGCUGGGUUGCUGGCAAAGCUGCCAGUAGCUUAGUGUUCAGUCCUCAAAAAAGAAGAUUGGCAACAUCAUUGUGCAAAACCAGAAAGAAACGCUAGGAGUAACGGAUUUCUCUUCUGUCUCAGCAGGCUAUGUGUUGAUUUAUUGCAGCUGAGGUUUUGGCCAGUUAUAUCACAAGUAUAUGAUUUCAAAAUCUGAAAAUAGCAAGUCUAUACGCAUUUUUGGGUACAAAAGGUAUUGGAAGCUAUUGUAAUUUAUCAGUAUGGGUUUUAAAUCUCGCUACAUUUUCUUUCUGAACUAAGUUGCUGCUGCUGUUAGGUUGCUGUAUAUUUCUUUUUUGUGGUUGAGGAGGCAGAGGGAGAGGAGACUUGAGUUACUGCUGUCAUGUACAUCCUCGCCAUUACUUUCUCUUAAUCCAAUGCUGACUGCUGCUUUAUCUCCUCAGGAAGAAGUUUUUAAGAUCUUUAAAUGGUGUUGGGAACAAAAGGAUGGCAGCAGAGGGGCAGUCUGAUAAAAUGGCAUCUGACAUAGAAGUGCCUGUGAAGCAAAGUGAGACACUUGCUGAGUGUUUAUGGACAUUGAACAGUGGAUGUGAGCACGGUGAGGCAAUGUGUGUUGUGUUUCAGCAGUGGCAACAGUGUCAUGAAAGGUAAGCCACAUUCUGGAUGGCCAUGCAUAGCUGUCACAGCAGGAAAUGAGGAGAGUCUUGAUCAGCUCAUCUGAGCAAAUCAGUUAAUGGUGGUGAACUGUGUUGAAAAACAGUGUUGUAGUUGAAAAAAUGUUCUAUCAAACAAUGUUAUUAUGCUUUUUGUGUCUGUUGUAAUUUCCAUGGAAAUAAAUAGGAGGCAUUAUUUUCAGAUCAGUGUAAUUUUAAUGUCUUGUUCUCUAGGCCGUACUUUUGCAGCAUCAUUUCUCUUGGUCAGAUUUAAGCUGUUCUUAGCUAGUAUGUCACUCUAGCUAUAUCAUUAAUUAGUCACCAUUGCUGUAGUGAUGAUACGCAAACAAUGAGAAUGUUCAGUCAGGACAUCCACAGUGUUUGGAAACAAGCUUAAUGAGGGCUGGGUAAAAGAUGGUUCUUUCCUUCUUGUAUUAAUGAAAUGAUGGUAACUGUACAUCAGAGUGACCAGGAGCACUUGUAUGUUUUCCUUUCAUCUCUACAUGAAGUACAGAUUAGAACAAGAAGAAAUGCACUGUUUGUUAUUCUAGGGUUGUACCCAGCAAGAGGAGAUGAAC